rnacentral:rRNA from 1 species
CGGACGGGUGAGUAAUGUCUGGGAAACUGCCUGAUGGAGGGGGAUAACUACUGGAAACGGUAGCUAAUACCGCAUAACGUCGCAAGACCAAAGAGGGGGACCUUCGGGCCUCUUGCCAUCGGAUGUGCCCAGAUGGGAUUAGCUAGUAGGUGGGGUAACGACUCACCUAGGCGACGAUCCCUAGCUGGUCUGAGAGGAUGACCAGCCACACUGGAACUGAGACACGGUCCAG